UAUUCACGAAAAACGAAAUUCAAAAUUUUCCAAUGCUAACACUAUGGGGGAAGGAAACUACCCGAUGGAACGAAUUCCACCGGGUAAAAGAAAGAAAGACAGACACAAACAGACACCAGACACAGACACUCACCAAAACACACCAGGAACCAAAAUUAGGCAAAAGAAACCACUAAAAUCCAAUGUUUUCAGUCAAAAUGCAGGAGCAGCUAAAAACACGUCUGCACACUACAAGAGACAAGCAGUGACUGGUGUUGUAAUUGUGUUUGUGUUGAGGCAUACAGCUUAAUGUCGUCCAUGUAUAAAAGAU
rnacentral:lncRNA from 1 species